UAAUCUGUCUGAGGUAGAUCAUUAUCUAGUUAUAACAAAUCCACUCGUGACUGCUCAAUAUUACCUGUUAUCUCAAACCCGACUACAACACAACAACGAUAAAAUAUAUAUAAAUUAAAAC
rfam:Populus trichocarpa scaffold_1_contig_104, whole genome shotgun sequence.